GGCCGGCUGGCCUAAUGGUUAAGGCGUCAGUUUCCGGUCAACGGAACUAGCUGAAGAUUCGGGGUUCGAAUCCCCGGUUGGUCG
rnacentral:tRNA from 1 species